rnacentral:lncRNA from 1 species
CUCUGCUUUUUUGUUCUGUGUAAUAGCCUCCUGUGAGUAGGAGCUACCUCACAUGGAGUAUACAUCAUUAGUAAGUUAAUUCAAUAGUCAUGAUUAUGUACAGCAUAUGCAUAAAAUAUUUUGUUUGCAUGACAUAAUUAUAAGAACUUGGAUUUAUUAUGACAAAUCUAUCAUAAUAUUAUUCAACAAUUGAUGUCAAAUAUCAAUAUUGUACUGUAUGCAAGUAUAUCCAAG